ACGAACGCUGGCGGCGUGCUUAACACAUGCACGUCGAACGCUGAACCCGCUUCGGUGGGGGAUGAGUGGCGAACGGGUGAGUAACACGUGGGCAACCUGCCCCCGGCUCUGGGAUAACUCCAAGAAAUUGGGGCUAAUACCGGAUGUGACCGCUGGCCGCAUGGUCUGGUGGUGGAAAGGGUUUCCGGCUGGGGAUGGGCCCGCGGCCUAUCAGCUUGUUGGUGGGGUAGUGGCCUACCAAGGCGACGACGGGUAGCCGGCCUGAGAGGGUGACCGGCCACACUGGGACUGAGACACGGCCCAGACUCCUACGGGAGGCAGCAGUGGGGAAUAUUGCGCAAUGGGCGGAAGCCUGACGCAGCGACGCCGCGUGGGGGAUGACGGCCUUCGGGUUGUAAACCUCUUUCAGCAGGGACGAAGCGCAAGUGACGGUACCUGCAGAAGAAGCACCGGCCAACUACGUG
rnacentral:rRNA from 1 species